UACGAAGGGUGCAAGCGUUACUCGGAAUUACUGGGCGUAAAGCGUGCGUAGGUGGUUUGUUAAGUCUGAUGUGAAAGCCCUGGGCUCAACCUGGGAACUGCAUUGGAAACUGGCUGACUAGAGUGCGGUAGAGGGGUGUGGAAUUCCCGGUGUAGCAGUGAAAUGCGUAGAUAUCGGGAGGAACACCAGUGGUGAAGGCGACACCCUGGACCAGCACUGACACUGAGGCACGAAAGCGUGGGGAGCAAACAGG
rnacentral:rRNA from 1 species